AGCUUCCUUACCCCUCCCAUUCUCUGGCCCCUCUGAGCUUCCUUACCCCUCCCAUUCUGUUGCGCCUGGGGCCGGCAGUGCUGCCCAUGAGAGGGUAACUGAUCCCUUUCGGGGCAUUAGUGACACUCAGUGACUUGGCCGGAAAGCAAGUUUGUGCUGCAGUUCUGUUGCUGGUCACAUAACCCCCAGCAGCUCCUUGUUGCCCCCCACCCUCAGGUCUCAGGACGAGCGACCGGGACGAUUACCUUAAAGAGCUCUACGCAACUGGCAAUCACUACCAUUUCCUGCACAGCCUGGCACUACUGGCAGUGCCACACUGCCGCCGCCCCCUGCUGGUAAGUUUACUUGGAUGGGUU